AGUCGUGCGAGAAGUAUCUUCGGAUAUGAGUAGAGCGGCGGACGGGUGAGUAACGCGUAGGAAUCUACCUAGUAGAAGGGGAUAGCCCGGGGAAACCCGGAUUAAUACCGUAUACCUCCUUCGGGAGAAAGAAGGCCUCUCUUUGAAGCUUUCGCUACUAGAUGAGCCUGCGUAAGAUUAGCUUGUUGGUGAGGUAAAGGCUCACCAAGGCGACGAUCUUUAGCUGGUCUGAGAGGACGAUCAGCCACAUUGGGACUGAGACACGGCCCAGACUCCUACGGGAGGCAGCAGUGGGGAAUAUUGGACAAUGGGCGCAAGCCUGAUCCAGCCAUACCGCGUGUGUGAAGAAGGCCUUCGGGUUGUAAAGCACUUUAAGCAGGGAGAAAAAGUUAUAAGUUAAUACCUUAUAACCCUGAUGUUACCUGCAGAAUAAGCACCGGCUAAUUCCGUGCCAGCAGCCGCGGUAAUACGGAAGGUGCAAGCGUUAAUCGGAAUUACUGGGCGUAAAGCGCGCGUAGGUGGUUUGUUAAGUUGGAUGUGAAAGCCCUGGGCUCAACCUAGGAACUGCAUCCAAAACUAACUCACUAGAGUACGAUAGAGGGAGGUAGAAUUCAUAGUGUAGCGGUGGAAUGCGUAGAUAUUAUGAAGAAUACCAGUGGCGAAGGCGGCCUCCUGGAUCUGUACUGACACUGAGGUGCGAAAGCGUGGGUAGCGAACAGGAUUAGAUACCCUGGUAGUCCACGCCGUAAACGAUGACAACUAGCUGUUGGGAGACUAUGUCUUUCAGUGGCGCAGCUAACGCUUUAAGUUGUCCGCCUGGGGAGUACGGCCGC
rnacentral:rRNA from 1 species